GAUAAACGCUGGCGGCGCACAUAAGACAUGCAAGUCGAACGAACUUAAUACCUUGCUUGCAAGGUAAGCGGUUAGUGGCGGACUGGUGAGUAACACGUAAGAAAUCUGCCUAUCAGAGGGGAAUAACAGUGAGAAAUCACUGCUAAUACCGCAUAUGCCAUAGGAAUCGCAUGAUUCUAGUGGGAAAGGAGCAAUCCGCUGAUAGAUGAGCUUGCGUCUGAUUAGCUAGUUGGUGGGGUAAAGGCCUACCAAGGCGACGAUCAGUAGCCGGACUGAGAGGUUGAACGGCCACAUUGGGACUGAGAUACGGCCCAGACUCCUACGGGAGGCAGCAGUCGGGAAUAUUGCGCAAUGGAGGAAACUCUGACGCAGUGACGCCGCGUAUAGGAAGAAGGUUUUCGGAUUGUAAACUAUUGUCCACAGGGAAGAUAAAAGACUGUACCUGUGAAGAAAGCUCCGGCUAACUACGUGCCAGCAGCCGCGGUAAUACGUAGGGAGCAAGCGUUAUCCGGAAUUAUUGGGUGUAAAGGGUGCGUAGACGGGAUAACAAGUUAGUUGUGAAACCCCCCGGCUCAACUGAGGAACUGCAACUAAAACUAUUAUUCUUGAGUGCAGGAGAGGAAAGUGGAAUUCCUAGUGUAGCGGUGAAAUGCGUAGAUAUUAGGAAGAACACCGGUGGCGAAGGCGACUUUCUGGACUGUAACUGACGUUGAGGCACGAAAGUGUGGGGAGCAAACAGGAUUAGAUACCCUGGUAGUCCACACUGUAAACGAUGGAUACUAGGUGUAGGAGAUAUUAAAGCUUCUGUGCCGUCGCUAACGCAGUAAGUAUCCCACCUGGGGAGUACGACCGCAAGGUUGAAACUCAAAGGAAUUGACGGGGGCCCGCACAAGCAGUGGAGUAUGUGGUUUAAUUCGAAGCAACGCGAAGAACCUUACCAGGGCUUGACAUACAAGUGAAUGUCUAAGAGAUUAGGCAGUAUUUCGGUACACUUGUACAGGUGGUGCAUGGUUGUCGUCAGCUCGUGUCGUGAGAUGUUAGGUUAAGUCCUGCAACGAGCGCAACCCCUAUACUUAGUUGCCAGCACGUAAAGGUGGGAACUCUAAGUAGACUGCCGGUGAUAAAUCGGAGGAAGGUGGGGACGACGUCAAAUCAUCAUGCCCUUUAUGUCCUGGGCUACACACGUACUACAAUGGCUAUAACAAAGAGAAGCGAGACGGAGACGUUAAGCGAAACCCAAAAAAGUAGUCUCAGUUCGGAUUGAAGGCUGAAAUUCGCCUUCAUGAAGCCGGAAUUGCUAGUAAUGGCAGGUCAGCAUACUGCCGUGAAUACGUUCCCGGGCCUUGUACACACCGCCCGUCACACCAUGAGAGUUGGGAAUACCCGAAGCCUGUGAGCUAACGUAAGAGGCAGCAGUCGAAGGUAGAAUCAAUGAUUGGGGUG
rnacentral:rRNA from 1 species